AUUGAACGCUGGCGGAAUGCUUUACACAUGCAAGUCGAACGGCAGCAUAGGUGCUUGCACCUGAUGGCGAGUGGCGAACGGGUGAGUAAUACAUCGGAACGUGCCCAGUCGUGGGGGAUAACGUAGCGAAAGUUACGCUAAUACCGCAUACGAUCUGCGGAUGAAAGCGGGGGACCGUAAGGCCUCGCGCGAUUGGAGCGGCCGAUGUUAGAUUAGGUAGUUGGUGGGGUAAAGGCUCACCAAGCCGACGAUCUAUAGCUGGUCUGAGAGGAUGAUCAGCCACACUGGGACUGAGACACGGCCCAGACUCCUACGGGAGGCAGCAGUGGGGAAUUUUGGACAAUGGGCGCAAGCCUGAUCCAGCCAUUCCGCGUGCAGGACGAAGGCCUUCGGGUUGUAAACUGCUUUUGUACAGAACGAAAAGCUCUGGGUUAAUACCCUGGGGUCAUGACGGUACUGUAAGAAUAAGCACCGGCUAACUACGUG
rnacentral:rRNA from 1 species